rnacentral:rRNA from 1 species
GACUUAUAUUCUGUAGCAAGGUUAACCGUAUAGGGGAGCCGGAGGGAAACCGAGUCUUAACCGGGCGUUAAGUUGCAGGGUAUAGACCCGAAACCCGGUGAUCUAGCCAUGGGCAGGUUGAAGGUUGGGUAACACUAACUGGAGGACCGAACCGACUAAUGUUGAAAAAUUAGCGGAUGACCUGUGGCUGGGGGUGAAAGGCCAAUCAAACCGGGAGAUAGCUGGUUCUCCCCGAAAGCUAUUUAGGUAGCGCCUCGUGAAUUCAUCUCCGGGGGUAGAGCACUGUUUCGGCUAGGGGGCCAUCCCGGCUUACCAACCCGAUGCAAACUGCGAAUACCGGAGAAUGUUAUCACGGGAGACACACGGCGGGUGCUAACGUCCGUCGUGAAGAGGGAAACAACCCAGACCGCCAGCUAAGGUCCCAAAGUCAUGGUUAAGUGGGAAACGAUGUGGGAAGGCCCAGACAGCCAGGAUGUUGGCUUAGAAGCAGCCAUCAUUUAAAGAAAGCGUAAUAGCUCACUGGUCGAGUCGGCCUGCGCGGAAGAUGUAACGGGGCUAAACCAUGCACCGAAGCUGCGGCAGCGAACGUAUCACCCAAGACAACUUUACGGAGUUGACGAUUGACGGAGCGAAGCGACGUCAAAGCGUUCAUUAAAGUCGAGUUGGCUUAGGGAUACGUUCGUUGGGUAGGGGAGCGUUCUGUAAGCCUGUGAAGGUGUGUCGUGAGGCAUGCUGGAGGUAUCAGAAGUGCGAAUGCUGACAUAAGUAACGAUAAAGCGGGUGAAAAGCCCGCUCGCCGGAAGACCAAGGGUUCCUGUCCAACGUUAAUCGGGGCAGGGUGAGUCGACCCCUAAGGCGAGGCCGAAAGGCGUAGUCGAUGGGAAACGGGUUAAUAUUCCCGUACUUGGUGUUACUGCGAAGGGGGGACGGAGAAGGCUAUGUUGGCCGGGCGACGGUUGUCCCGGUUUAAGCGUGUAGGUGUGUGUUCCAGGUAAAUCCGGUUCACUUUAACACUGAGGCGUGACGACGAGGCACUACGGUGCUGAAGCAACAAAUGCCCUGCUUCCAGGAAAAGCCUCUAAGCAUCAGGUAACACGAAAUCGUACCCCAAACCGACACAGGUGGUCAGGUAGAGAAUACCAAGGCGCUUGAGAGAACUCGGGUGAAGGAACUAGGCAAAAUGGUGCCGUAACUUCGGGAGAAGGCACGCUGACACGUAGGUGAAGUGAUUUACUCAUGGAGCUGAAGUCAGUCGAAGAUACCAGCUGGCUGCAACUGUUUAUUAAAAACACAGCACUGUGCAAACACGAAAGUGGACGUAUACGGUGUGACGCCUGCCCGGUGCCGGAAGGUUAAUUGAUGGGGUCAGCGUAAGCGAAGCUCCUGAUCGAAGCCCCGGUAAACGGCGGCCGUAACUAUAACGGUCCUAAGGUAGCGAAAUUCCUUGUCGGGUAAGUUCCGACCUGCACGAAUGGCGUAAUGAUGGCCAGGCUGUCUCCACCCGAGACUCAGUGAAAUUGAACUCGCUGUGAAGAUGCAGUGUACCCGCGGCAAGACGGAAAGACCCCGUGAACCUUUACUAUAGCUUGACACUGAACAUUGAGCCUUGAUGUGUAGGAUAGGUGGGAGGCUUUGAAGUGUGGACGCCAGUCUGCAUGGAGCCGACCUUGAAAUACCACCCUUUAAUGUUUGAUGUUCUAACGUGGACCCGUAAUCCGGGUUGCGGACAGUGUCUGGUGGGUAGUUUGACUGGGGCGGUCUCCUCCUAAAGAGUAACGGAGGAGCACGAAGGUUGGCUAAUCCUGGUCGGACAUCAGGAGGUUAGUGCAAUGGCAUAAGCCAGCUUGACUGCGAGCGUGACGGCGCGAGCAGGUGCGAAAGCAGGUCAUAGUGAUCCGGUGGUUCUGAAUGGAAGGGCCAUCGCUCAACGGAUAAAAGGUACUCCGGGGAUAACAGGCUGAUACCGCCCAAGAGUUCAUAUCGACGGCGGUGUUUGGCACCUCGAUGUCGGCUCAUCACAUCCUGGGGCUGAAGUAGGUCCCAAGGGUAUGGCUGUUCGCCAUUUAAAGUGGUACGCGAGCUGGGUUUAGAACGUCGUGAGACAGUUCGGUCCCUAUCUGCCGUGGGCGCUGGAGAACUGAGGGGGGCUGCUCCUAGUACGAGAGGACCGGAGUGGACGCAUCACUGGUGUUCGGGUUGUCAUGCCAAUGGCACUGCCCGGUAGCUAAAUGCGGAAGAGAUAAGUGCUGAAAGCAUCUAAGCACGAAACUUGCCCCGA